rnacentral:rRNA from 1 species
UACGUAGGGGGCAAGCGUUGUCCGGAUUUAUUGGGCGUAAAGAGCUCGUAGGCGGUUUGUCGCGUCUGCCGUGAAAGUCCGGGGCUUAACUCCGGAUCUGCGGUGGGUACGGGCAGACUAGAGUGCAGUAGGGGAGACUGGAAUUCCUGGUGUAGCGGUGGAAUGCGCAGAUAUCAGGAGGAACACCGAUGGCGAAGGCAGGUCUCUGGGCUGUAACUGACGCUGAGGAGCGAAAGCAUGGGGAGCGAACAGGAUUAGAUACCCGUGUAGUCC